UACGUAGGGACCAAGCGUUGUUCGGAUUUACUGGGCGUAAAGGGCGCGUAGGCGGUCGUGACAAGUCACUUGUGAAAUCUCCGGGCUUAACUCGGAACGGUCAAGUGAUACUGUCGGACUAGAGUACAGAAGGGGCAACUGGAAUUCUCGGUGUAGCGGUGAAAUGCGUAGAUAUCAAGCGGAACACCGGUGGCGAAGGCGGCCUUCUGGACAGUGACUGACGCUGGAGACGCGAAAGCGUGGGGAGCAAACAGG
rnacentral:rRNA from 1 species